rnacentral:rRNA from 1 species
UGUAGGUGGACUGGAAGGUCUGGUGUGAAAGCCCGGGGCUCAACCCCGGAGGGUCACUGGAAACCAACAGUCUUGAGUCCGGAAGAGGAGAGUGGAAUUCCUGGUGUAGCGGUGGAAUGCGCAGAUAUCAGGAGGAACACCAAUGGCGAAGGCAGCUCUCUGGUACGUGACUGACACUGAGACGCGAAAGCGUGGGGAGC